rnacentral:rRNA from 1 species
UACGAAGGGGGCUAGCGUUGCUCGGAAUCACUGGGCGUAAAGCGCACGUAGGCGGCUUUCUAAGUCAGGGGUGAAAUCCUGGAGCUCAACUCCAGAACUGCCUUUGAUACUGGGAGCUCGAGUCCGGGGAGAGGUGAGUGGAACUCCGAGUGUAGAGGUGAAAUUCGUAGAUAUUCGGAAGAACACCAGUGGCGAAGGCGGCUCACUGGCCCGGUACUGACGCUGAGGUGCGAAAGCGUGGGGAGCAAACAGGG